rnacentral:rRNA from 1 species
GAUGAACGCUGGCGGCGUGCCUAAUACAUGCAAGUCGAGCGAACGGACGAGAAGCUUGCUUCUCUGAUGUUAGCGGCGGACGGGUGAGUAACACGUGGAUAACCCACCUAUAAGACUGGGAUAACUUCGGGAAACCGGAGCUAAUACCGGAUAAUAUUUUGAACCGCAUGGUUCAAAAGUGAAAGACGGUCUUGCUGUCACUUAUAGAUGGAUCCGCGCUGCAUUAGCUAGUUGGUAAGGUAACGGCCUACCAAGGCAACGAUGCAUAGCCGACCUGAGAGGGUGAUCGGCCACACUGGAACUGAGACACGGUCCAGACUCCUACGGGAGGCAGCAGUAGGGAAUCUUCCGCAAUGGGCGAAAGCCUGACGGAGCAACGCCGCGUGAGUGAUGAAGGUCUUCGGAUCGUAAAACUCUGUUAUUAGGGAAGAACAUAUGUGUAAGUAACUGUGCACAUCUUGACGGUACCUAAUCAGAAAGCCACGGCUAACUACGUG